AUUGACCGCUAGCGGCAGGCCUAACACAUGCAAGUCGAACGAGUGGCGGACGGGUGAGUAAUAUAUUGGAACGUGCCAGAUGGAGGGGGAUAACUACUGGAAACGGUGGCUAAUACCGCAUACCAUCGGAUGUGCCCAGAUGGGAUUAGCUAGUUGGGGGGGUAACGGCUCACCUAGGCAACGAUCCCUAGCUGGUCUGAGACGAUGACCAGCCACACUGGAACUGAGACACGGCCCAGACUCCGACGGGAGGCAGAAGUGGGGAAUAUUGGACAAUGGGCGAAACCCUGAUGCAGCCAUCCCGCGUGUAUGAUGAAGGCCUUCGGGUUGUAAAGUACUUUUAGCGAGGAGGCGGUACCUGCAGAAGAAGCACCGGCUAACUACGUGCCAGCAGCCGCGGUAAUUC
rnacentral:rRNA from 1 species